rnacentral:rRNA from 1 species
CAGCAGCCGCGGGAAUACGUAGGGUGCAAGCGUUAAUCGGAAUUACUGGGCGUAAAGCGUGCGCAGGCGGUUAUAUAAGUCGGAUGUGAAAUCCCCGGGCUCAACCUGGGAACUGCAUUUGAGACUGUAUGGCUAGAGUGUGUCAGAGGGGGGUAGAAUUCCACGUGUAGCAGUGAAAUGCGUAGAUAUGUGGAGGAAUACCGAUGGCGAAGGCAGCCCCCUGGGAUAACACUGACGCUCAUGCGCGAAAGCGUGGGGAGCAAACAGGAUUAGAUACCCCUGUAGUCCCUGUCUCUUAUAC